rnacentral:rRNA from 1 species
GAUGAACGCUGGCGGCGUGCCUAAUACAUGCAAGUCGAGCGAACGGACGAGAAGCUUGCUUCUCUGAUGUUAGCGGCGGACGGGUGAGUAACACGUGGAUAACCUACCUAUAAGACUGGGAUAACUUCGGGAAACCGUAGCUAAUACCGGAUAAUAUUUUGAACCGCAUGGUUCAAAAGUGAAAGACGCUCUUGGUGUCACUUAUAGAUGGAUCCGCGCUGCAUUAGCUAGUUGGUAAGGUAACGGCUUACCAAGGCAACGAUGCAUAGCCGACCUGAGAGGGUGAUCGGCCACACUGGAACUGAGACACGGUCCAGACUCCUACGGGAGGCAGCAGUAGGGAAUCUUCCGCAAUGGGCGAAAGCCUGACGGAGCAACGCCGCGUGAGUGAUGAAGGUCUUCGGAUCGUAAAACUCUGUUAUUAGGGAAGAACAUAUGUGUAAGUAACUGUGCACAUCUUGACGGUACCUAAUCAGAAAGCCACGGCUAACUACGUG